ACGUGGACCAGCUGUUGACGCCUGGCCACACUGUCACUGGCCACACUCCCUGUGAGGACUUUACCCAGGAGCUCUGAUAGACCUCUGCUGGAGUCCUCUACCCAGAGUCCUCUACCUUCUUUGACCCCCUCAUCCUGCCUCUUCUCUGGACCUCAGCUUCUCCUGGGCAUCUUCCUCCUUCAUCUGCCAAUGUGGGCAGAAGAGCCCCAGGACAUGUUUGCUGCUGUGCACUAAAAGAAUAAAGUCUGUGCCAGGCGGUGGUGGUGCACACCUUUUAUCCCAGCACUCAGGAGGCAGAGGCAGGCGGAUCUCUGUGAGUUCAAGGGUCCCCUGGUCAACCAGACACACAGAACUGCUCCUAUCCCCCAAGGAGGUCACAGAGUGGCUCCAUCUGGACUGCGUGAAGGCUGAGCCGCUCCUCAGACUAUGGGGUCGGGUUACUGGGAAAUCUGUUCAAAUAGCGCAUUAUAGUUUUAUGAAUCCGG